UUUACGGGAGGCAGCAGUGGGGAAUAUUGCACAAUGGGGGAAACCCUGAUGCAGCGACGCCGCGUGAGUGAAGAAGUAUUUCGGUAUGUAAAGCUCUAUCAGCAGGGAAGAAGAAAGACGGUACC
rnacentral:rRNA from 1 species